CAAUCUGCCCUUCACUCUGGGACAAGCCCUGGAAACGGGGUCUAAUACCGGAUACAACCACUGCAGGCAUCUGUUGAUGGUGGAAAGCUCCGGCGGUGAAGGAUGAGCCCGCGGCCUAUCAGCUUGUUGGUGAGGUAACGGCUCACCAAGGCGACGACGGGUAGCCGGCCUGAGAGGGCGACCGGCCACACUGGGACUGAGACACGGCCCAGACUCCUACGGGAGGCAGCAGUGGGGAAUAUUGCACAAUGGGCGAAAGCCUGAUGCAGCGACGCCGCGUGAGGGAUGACGGCCUUCGGGUUGUAAACCUCUUUCAGCAGGGAAGAAGCGAAAGUGACGGUACCUGCAGAAGAAGCGCCGGCUAACUACGUGCCAGCAGCCGCGGUAAUACGUAGGGCGCGAGCGUUGUCCGGAAUUAUUGGGCGUAAAGAGCUCGUAGGCGGUCUGUCGCGUCGGAUGUGAAAGCCCGGGGCUUAACCCCGGGUCUGCAUUCGAUACGGGCAGACUAGAGUGUGGUAGGGGAGAUCGGAAUUCCUGGUGUAGCGGUGAAAUGCGCAGAUAUCAGGAGGAACACCGGUGGCGAAGGCGGAU
rnacentral:rRNA from 1 species